GACGAACGCUGGCGGCGUGCCUAAUACAUGCAAGUUGAGCGAUGAAGAUUGGUGCUUGCACCAAUUUGAAGAGCAGCGAACGGGUGAGUAACGCGUGGGGAAUCUGCCUUUGAGCGGGGGACAACAUUUGGAAACGAAUGCUAAUACCGCAUAAUAACUUUAAACAUAAGUUUUAAGUUUGAAAGAUGCAAUUGCAUCACUCAAAGAUGAUCCCGCGUUGUAUUAGCUAGUUGGUGAGGUAAAGGCUCACCAAGGCGAUGAUACAUAGCCGACCUGAGAGGGUGAUCGGCCACAUUGGGACUGAGACACGGCCCAAACUCCUACGGGAGGCAGCAGGAGGGAAUCUUCGGCAAUGGACGAAAGUCUGACCGAGCAACGCCGCGUGAGUGAAGAAGGUUUUCGGAUCGUAAAACUCUGUUGGUAGAGAAGAACGUUGGUGAGAGUGGAAAGCUCAUCAAGUGACGGUAACUACCCAGAAAGGGACGGCUAACUACGUG
rnacentral:rRNA from 1 species